GACGAACCGUGCGAGCGUUGUUCGGAAUCACUGGGCUUAAAGGGCGCGUAGGCGGGCCAGCAAGUCAGGGGGGAAAUCCCACGGCUCAACCGUGGAAGUGCCUUUGAUACUGCGGGUCUCGAGGGAGGUAGGGGCGUGCGGAACUUCCGGUGGAGCGGUGAAAUGCGUAGAUAUCGGAAGGAACACCGGUGGCGAAAGCGGCGCGCUGGACCUCUUCUGACGCUGAGGCGCGAAAGCCAGGGGAGCAAACGGG
rnacentral:rRNA from 1 species